rnacentral:rRNA from 1 species
AACCCUUGUCCUUAGUACCAGCACGUUAUGGUGGCACUCUAAGGAGACUGCCGGUGACAAACCGGAGGAAGGUGGGACGACGUCAAGUCAUCAUGGCCCUUACGGCCUGGGCUACACACGUGCUACAAUGGUCGGUACAAAGGGUUGCCAAGCCGCGAGGUGGAGCUAAUCCCAUAAAACCGAUCGUAGUCCGGAUCGCAGUCUGCAACUCGACUGCGUGAAGUCGGAAUCGCUAGUAAUCGUGAAUCAGAAUGUCACGGUGAAUACGUUCCCGGGCCUU